AGGGGGCCGAAUCCCCCGAGCCCCUUCACCUUUUAAAAUGUGAGUGGUUUUAAAAGGGAAAAACAAAACCGAGCAACAGUACCAAUGCUCUCUUUUUAAACUAGCAACCAGACUGUUGUCAUUCUUCAGAUAUUUAUCCCAUUCCUCUUGGCCCUGCCAUGUUGGGGCCGCAGUUCCUCAGCCCGUGGUAGUUCCCCUUGAAUCUCUCCCAGCAGAAUGCAGCCCUCCCUCUCCCCUGGCUCCCUCCUUCACUCCUUCCCAGUGACCUUGGCUCCCUGAGGCCUUCCUGUGGAACCCAGAGCCACCUUGGCCCAGCGGGCUGAGGACUGUGGCCUGGCUGGCUGGCCAGCGUGGUGCUCCUCAGGACUGUGGCGCUGAGAUGUAACCUGGCCUCCGAGCAGGAACAGGGGCCCCAGCUGGGCAGGAAGCCCACCGCUCUCCACAUAGGAACCACAACCGGGGGUGGGGGGCCCUGCCACGUGAGGUGUCUGAACCACCCUGUCAGACUAGCGGACCCGGCUGUGUCCGGCAGGCUCAGUGUGUCCUCAGGACUGUGACUGGGGGCAGCAGCUUGCUGCACACCCCUCUCCCCUUCUCGAAUGUACUCUGGUCUUACAGUGUGCUACCGGCUCUUUCUUGCCCGGCCAUCACUCUGGAUGUUCUGUGUGCCACACGUGGCUCUGGAUCAGCUGAAUCUUCUGCCCUGAGAUCUGGGGAAUAAAAUGAGAGAAGCUUGAGAGACCGUCAGUGUGGAUUCAAAUGGCCAUGCUUCUUUGGAAUCAGUGUCCAGUGCUGAGCUGAGAAGCAGAUGGAUCCCAGUCUCCUCCACAGGCUGUAGACAGAGUGAGACUGGAGAACGGACAUCAUUGUUGAACUGUGGCUAGAAAGAGACCAUCAUGUUUCUUGUCCUUCUUUGGCCAGACCACCCAGGGAUGUCUGGACAGACGCCCAUGUGGAUGGUGAAGACUGUGUCUGAGUGAGCUGCUGUGUGGGGUUCACUGUGAUGCCAGAGUGUGUCCCAUGGUGACUCUCAGACUCUUCUAGACUCUUCUCUUAGGCAAGAAAGACUGCUGUGUGAUACCUGAGCACAAAGCCAAGAGGCUAAAUUAAGUCUUGUCUUGCUGUAAAGUCCGAGAUUGUCUUUGGCAGAUUUCCAGGGUGUGGCCAGCUCUCUCUGACCCUGGGUACCUGAGCAGGCAGACAAGGAGACCGGGCACCGAACACGCAUGCCAAGGUGACUGGUCAUCUCGUGAGGACCCAGACAUGACCCUGUGGACCAUUCCACAUGAUUUGGAACCCACUUUUUAUUAGCUACCCAUGCCUCUGGCCUUUCUUUCUCUUUUCCCCUGUCCUCCUGACACUGAUAGUUUGUCAUAUAAAUUCCCCUGGUUGUGUUUUUUUUUUCUAGAAAAAAGAAUUAAAAAGCAAAUCAAAACAAAAAAACAGAAACCACAGAUAAGAAUGUAAAUGCCAGUGGCUCCCUGUCAUUUUUCUUGUCGCAGUUUUCCUGGUUUGGUUUCUUCCCUUCUCUUAGAGAAGGAGAAACUGAGGAGGUAUGAAUGUAAUUUAGAAAAAAGUUAGAAGGGGCCUGGAUGUGUCUGCUCCACGCAAGGCAUUUGCACCUCUACGAUCCUAGGGCCUAGUCCUGACAGCUUCCACACCGAGGUCCUGAGGCUGGGAGCCAGAGAUACCCCUCCCAUGUCCUUGACUGUGACCCACCCAAGCCCUUUCCUCUAUAUCCCCUGAGCUGCAGAAAAGAGCGCUGCUUCUGAACGCCAGCCACUGCGUGGGAAGAGAGACGUCUUCAGGGCUGGGACUUGUAGAAGCAGCUGCACUUCCUUUUGAAGCCGUGGGGAAUGAUCCCUGACUUCCAGGGAGAGGUGUGAGAGGGGUAACCUGUGGGAGAGCGCUCCAGUGUCAGUGCUGCCGCUGCCCACGUCCCAUCCAUUCACACCUUCAGCCCACACCUCUCGCCCCCGUGUGUGUCACAGCUUAGGGCUCCCUUGGAGGAGCCGCCCAAGCGGGUGUUUUUUCCAUUCCUGGGAAGAGUGCAUGUCUGUCUCGGGAGUCGGGAAUGUGUUCUCUCUCAUUUCGUUUCAUUUCAGACAUUUAUGAAAGGCACCUUGUGUACAAAGCUCCGUUUUGGCACCAUGAGAGAAACGUGAUGACCUUCGGGGACCCUGUCUCCAAGGACUGUAUAUUCUUAGUUGGGGAGAUGGACUUGUCCACGGGAAGGCAGAGUGAAGAAGCACCCCUGCUGAGCCCCUGGUCGCCAAGCCCUUUUUAGGUCAUGGCUGCUGCACUUGUCUGUUUACCAUCAAAACUGAGCAAGAGUGUAAAAAAGAGACACCCAGCUGGAUCGUCUGCUUGCCAAACAUCAUCCUUUUUGCUCCCAUUGUGUAACUAGAGUCCUGGUUCCUCCUGAUGAUCAGGGUCAAUUACGGCUGCCAGGAUGGUGACUCCUGCUUCUUGCCUGCUAGUCCCUGGGCAUAAGAAGCUCAAAGUGCCUGGUGGCAAGUGUGAAUUAGAGUUCAGCGGGACUUUUGCUAUAACCCCCUGCUGGAAAUAUGUUCUCUUUGAGAAUCAGGACCUCAAAACCCUCAAAGCUCAGAGUUGUGGUGACAGAAAUACCCCAAUGGAGUUAAUGGUAAGUGGAGCCACUCCUUCCUGCACGCCUUGGUUCCUGCACCUAUCUGUCCUUCCUAUUGGGACACAGCACCAUAUUGAUUGUUGAUAAGAGUGUAUGUAAACUGUGUCCUUAGUUGGUAGCAUAUCUGUGCUGGCACCUCAGCUGUGCCUUCACAGGCAUCUCCUCUCUGCUCAAGCUGGUGUCUUCUGGAUGGUACAGAAUGUGGCAGGGCCAGUGGCUCCCAUGGUCAUGUGCCACUGUCAUGCCUCCUUUGCUAUGCAAGGGGUCCUUUGGUCAGCUUCGACAUUAUAUGAGACCCUGUGUCAGACAUUCAGUAAGCACUCAAGAAAGUGGUGCUGGCUGAGGCCCUAUAGACAAAAAAGGCAAACCAUACCCAGCACGCAGCAAUUCCAAUCAAAAUAAAUUGUUGCCAUUUCCAGGAUGGAAGGCAUCCAAUGUAGGCAACUUGUCAUCAA